UUAUCUGGCCAUUCUGUCUUCGCAGGGGUUCUUUUCCAUUUCGGGGGAAGGGAGGAAAGGGUGGAAGCCGCUUCCACCCACUACAGUUCGGGCUUGAGUCAGCUCCUAGGUGUCGCGGAGCACGCCCCGGUGCCACCGACGGGGCCAUUUCCGCCGCGGAGGCCGAGACAGCGCCGCCCGCUCGCGAAGGGUCCAGCUGACCGGCAGGCUCGCGCUCGCGGCGCCAGCUCUAUUCUCUUCUGGUCACCAGGGGGCGCCAGAAGCAAUGGCGUGUCCAGAAAGGGACGGCGGCCACGUGACAGGGGGGUCACGCGCAGGGUCGUGGGGGACCGCCUGGGGAUUCCCGGACGGCUGCCAGGAGUGAGCGGCAAAGUGCCGAGCCGGCUUGGGCUGCUUUCCUCGCUCCACCGCCUGCUCGUUUCGUCGUGCGCGGGCCGGACGGUGGGGCUGCAGCGGCGAAAGCGCCUGAAGUUCCGGAGCAGUCGCAUGAGCUUACCGGUUACCAGGAGGCCCCGGGAACAGACACCUCACCCUGACAUUGUGGCAGGAACUUCUGGACUGUUUUCCAAAGUGGCUGCACUGUUUUCUCUCCUCACUGGUAAAUGGCAGGAAAACAUCUAA
rnacentral:lncRNA from 1 species